UGAGACUUUAAGUCUCCUGAAGGAACGUUGAAGACGACGACGUUGAUAGGCCGGGUGUGUAAGCGCAGCGAUGCGUUGAGCUAACAGGUACUAAUGAACCGUGAGGCUUAACCUU
rnacentral:rRNA from 1 species